rnacentral:rRNA from 1 species
UACGAAGGGUGCAAACGUUGCUCGGAAUUAUUGGGCGUAAAGCGCACGUAGGCGGCUUUGCAAGUCGGAUGUGAAAUCCCUCGGCUCAACCAAGGAAGUGCAUCCGAAACUGCAGAGCUUGAGUACUUAAGAGGAUCGCGGAAUUCCCGGUGUAGAGGUGAAAUUCGUAGAUAUCGGGAGGAACACCAGUGGCGAAGGCGGCCAACUGGCCCGAUACUGACGCUCAUGUGCGAAAGCGUGGGGAGCAAACAGG